rnacentral:misc_RNA from 1 species
AAAGUCGUAACAAGGUUUCCGUAGGUGAACCUGCGGAAGGAUCAUUACCGAGUUCGGGGUUUCCCCAACUCCCACCCUUGUUUACCUCACGUUGCUUCGGCGAGACGUUGGAAGCAGCCAUCGGCAAUUCCUAAUAGAUGCCCUGAUGCGUGCUCGCCGGACUCCCAUACUCUUAGACUAUGUACAGUCAGAUGAAAUAAGCAAUAUAUAAAAACUUUCAACAACGGAUCUCUUGGUUUUG